AGUGUGGGGCCGCAGUUCCCGGCCUGGGGAGGGAAUCCCUGCCCCCGUGGGCAGGAAACGGCCGUGCUGGGCUUCGUUUCCUCGGUCGGGAGUGGGGUCUGACGUUGGAGCUGCCUCGCGUAGGGGCGGGCAGGAGCGGAGUUGAGAGUCCCCCCGGCGGGGAGGAGGGGGCUUUCCAGCGGGCCCGGGCGGUGGGGCCCGGGACGCGAGAGCCUCUGCGGGCGGCCUACCGUCCGCGCUGCUAGGCCUCGGAGUGUGCGACGCGAGCCGUGCGCUCUGUCACCGCCUCUUCUUGGUGACUAACUCCCGUCCCCGGGGAACUCAGCGUCUCCGCCCCCGGGAGACCGUAAGGUACCCUGCCUGUUUCUCGUGGUGGUCUCAGGGUUUCAAGAGGUGAGAGUGGAAGUCACUCAGCGUCACUUCAAGAUUAUGUUGGUCAAAACAGAUCACAAGGCCAACUCAGAUUCAAAGCAUGGUGAAAUAGACUCCACCUCUUGAUAAGAAGAGCAUCAAUGUCGUAUUUCAAAGGUGCCUGCACACCUCGAGCCCUCUUUGUAGUCUAUCAUAAAUGUUCAAUACAAUUUUAUACCUGGGUUAUCCUGAUUGGAUUUGGGGUGUUCACUGAUAACCUAACUGAUUUUAUCCAUCAAAACAAUGAAAACUAUCCUAAGAUCUUGUGGAUAUUCCUUAUUGCUUGCCCCUAUAUUAUCUAUAAUAAUAAUGUAAACUCUUUCCUCUUAGAAUUUCUAUUGUCCUAUGCAUGUCCUCAGGAGCUGCCAAGAAGAAAUAUCUUUAGAUAUCUAAGAUGGCUAAUUCUGCCUCUUCCCAAUUUUCUGUUCUUUUUUUUUGAGACAGAGUCUCA